rnacentral:rRNA from 1 species
UGCAAGUCGAGCGCACUGGCCCAACUGAUAUGACGUGCUUGCACUGAUUUGACGAUGGAUUACCAGUGAGCGGCGGACGGGUGAGUAACACGUGGGCAACCUGCCCUAAAGUGGGGGAUAACAUUUGGAAACAGGUGCUAAUACCACAUAACUCCGAAAACCACAUGGUUUUCGGAUAAAAGAUGGUUUCGGCUAUCACUUUGGGAUGGGCCCGCGGUGCAUUAGCUAGUUGGUAAGGUAACGGCUUACCAAGGCAAUGAUGCAUAGCCGAGUUGAGAGACUGAUCGGCCACAAUGGAACUGAGACACGGUCCAUACUCCUACGGGAGGCAGCAGUAGGGAAUCUUCCACAAUGGGCGCAAGCCUGAUGGAGCAACACCGCGUGAGUGAAGAAGGGUUUCGGCUCGUAAAACUCUGUUGUUGAAGAAGAACGUGCAUGAGAGUAACUGUUCAUGCAGUGACGGUAUUCAACCAGAAAGUCACGGCUAACUAC